AUACCGAGGUGGCAAGCGUUGUUCGGAUUUACUGGGCGUAAAGGAUGCGUAGGUGGUUUUGUAUGUCAGAUGUGAAAGCUCACCGCCCAACGGUGAAAGUGCAUUUGAAACUACAAGACUAGAGUACAGGAGAGGAGAGUGGAAUUCUUGGUGUAGCGGUGAAAUGCGUAGAUAUCAAGAAGAACACCGGUGGCGAAGGCGACUCUCUAGACUGAUACUGACACUGAUGCAUGAAAGCUGGGGGAGCGAACAGGAUUAGAUACCCGAGUAGUCC
rnacentral:rRNA from 1 species